AUUGAACGCUGGCGGCAGGCCUAACACAUGCAAGUCGAGCGAGCGGCGGACGGGUGAGUAAUGUCUGGGAAACUGCCUGAUGGAGGGGGAUAACUACUGGAAACGGUAGCUAAUACCGCAUACCAUCAGAUGUGCCCAGAUGGGAUUAGCUAGUAGGUGGGGUAACGGCUCACCGAGGCGACGAUCCCUAGCUGGUCUGAGAGGAUGACCAGCUACACUGUAACUGAGACACGGUCCAGACGCAUACGGGAGGCAGCAGUGGGGAAUAUUGGACAAUGGGCGAAAGCCUGAUGCAGCCAUGCCGCGUGGAUGAAGAAGGCCGUCGGGUUGUAAAGCACUUUCAGCGAGGAGGCGUUACUCGCAGAAGAAGCACCGGCUAACUCCGUGCCAGCAGCCGCGGUAAUUC
rnacentral:rRNA from 1 species